GACGAACGCUGGCGGCGUGCUUAACACAUGCAAGUCGAACGGAAAGGCCUCUUUCGGGGGGUACACGAGUGGCGAACGGGUGAGUAACACGUGAGUAACCUGCCAUUGCCGUUGGGAUAACUUCAGAAAACUGGGGCUAAUACCGGAUAGAAGCUCCUGCUGCAUGGUGGGGGUUGGAAAGUUUCGGCGGUUGGUGAUGGACUCGCGGCUUUUCCGCUUGUUGGUGGGGUAGCUGCUUCCCAAGGCUUUGCCGGGUCGCCGGCCGGAGAGGGUGACCGGCCACAUUGGGACUGAGAUACGGCCCAGACUCCUACGGGAGGCAGCAGUGGGGAAUAUUGCACAAGGGGUGGAAGCCUGAUGCAGCAACGCCGUGUGCGGGAUGAUGGCCUGCGGGUUGGAAACCGCGUUCGCUCAUGACGAAGCUUUGUGUGACGGUAGUGGGUAAAGAAGCACCGGCUAACUACGUG
rnacentral:rRNA from 1 species